AACUGGAUAGCUCAGUUUGUUAGCGCAUGGUGCUGAUAACACCAAGGUUGCAGGUUCGAUCCCAGCUGCAGAUU